rnacentral:rRNA from 1 species
GAUCAUGGCUCAGGAUGAACGCUAGCGGCAGGCCUAAUACAUGCAAGUCGAACGGAUAUAUGUUUUUCGGAAUAUAUAUUAGUGGCGCACGGGUGAGUAACACGUACAUAACUUGCCCUCAAGCGGGGGAUAGCCUUGGGAAACUGAGAGUAAUACCCCAUAGAAUUAUUGGACGGCAUCGUUUGAUAAUUAAAACUACGGUGUUUGGGGAUAGAUGUGCGUCUGAUUAGCUAGUUGGUGAGGUAAAGGCUCACCAAGGCGACGAUCUGUAGCGGGUCUGAGAGGAUGAUCCGCCACACUGGAACUGAGACACGGUCCAGACUCCUACGGGAGGCAGCAGUGGGGAAUUUUGGACAAUGGGCGCAAGCCUGAUCCAGCCAUGCCGCGUGAGUGAAGAAGGCCUUCGGGUUGUAAAGCUCUUUCGGCCGGGAAGAAAUCGCACAGGUUAAUACCCUGUGUGGAUGACGGUACCGGAAUAAGAAGCACCGGCUAACUACGUG